GGCAGCAAGCCUUGAUGCUACGGAAUGGCCGGCGGAAGACUCAUCAACGGUUGACUUUCCCUGAUCCGUUUGAGUGAU
rnacentral:sRNA from 1 species